UUUAAUGGCAAAGACUUGAAAGGGAAUUCCUCCCAAUGAAGUAAUCUCAACUUGUAAGGAAGACUUGGAGCAAUCCCCGUUAAAUUUGAUUCAAAUCUGAAUUUGGUAAAAUUUGACCAAUCCCUGUAAAAUUUGAGCAAUCUCAAGUUGGGCAUCCGUGAGAAGAAUGAAUCAUUCAAAUCUAGCCUUCCAAUUUCAGACACGUUCAAAAGUAGGCCUUCAACUUUAUUUGCCUCAUUAUUAGUUGAGUUCAACAUACGAUAGAUGCCAUUAGAAUUGCUUAAUAUGAUACCCUCCCGCCGAGCAAUAUCUUGACCCAU
rnacentral:misc_RNA from 1 species